rnacentral:rRNA from 1 species
CGACAGGCUUAACACAUAGCAAGUCGAGGGGCAGCAUAAAAGUAGCAAUACUUGGUGGCGACCGGCGCACGGGUGAGUAACGCGUAUGCAACCUACCGUAUACAGGAGGGGAAAUAACCCGGCGAAAGUCGGACUAAUACCGCAUAAAACAGGGGCACCGCAUUGGUGAUAUUUGUUAAAGAAAUUCGCUGAUAGAUGGGCAUGCGUUCCAUUAGGUAGUUGGGUGAGGUAACCGGCUCACCAAGCCGACGAUGGACAGGGGAACUGAGAGGUUGGUCCCCCACACUGGUACUGAGACACGGACCAGACUCCUACGGGAGGCAGCAGUGAGGAAUAUUGGUCAAUGGGCGGGAGCCUGAACCAGCCAAGUCGCGUGAAAGGAAGAAGGAUCUAUGGUUCGUAAACUUCUUUUGCAGGGGAAUAAAGUGCAGGACGUGUCCUGUUUUGUAUGUACCCUGAGAAUAAGGAUCGGCUAACUCCGUGCCAGCAGCCGC